UGCUUCGUAGGUAUACCGCGGAGCGUUUAACGGAAUGUACUACUGUUAAAACAGCGGUUUAUUUAACUUCUCGUACAUCUAUUUCGUUCAUUAUUUACCGAAAGAAGUUACCGAAAGUAUUAAGUUUGAAGUUUUCACCAUUAUAAAGAGAGCAACCAUCAAAAUUAUUGAAAGAUUCGGUUUUUGACAUUAUACGUAGCGACGCAAUUCAGAUGCAACCAUCCCGAGAUCAAAAUUAUAAAUUAUUGAAAUGUUCAUUUUAAAUUAUCUUAUGUUUCUCGAGCGUUACGAUUUUCGUAAAGUUUAAGCGAAUAUACAAUCCAUUAAAUAUUCCGAUCAUGAAAAUAAUUCAUCUAUCGAUUAUACAUUAUUUCUAUUACGACAUCAAGUUGAAGUGCUAUAAAGGUUACUAGAAUAAUAAUAAUAUUCAGUUAAUCGAAUUACCAAGAAAAAUGAUACAAAUUCUUCAUUCUUUCAGUAGAAAAAUCAAAAGCACAGAAUGAUUUAUAUUUUGAUAUUCUUCCGUAUUUAUCCUUUGCGCUCGGCGUCCUCUCGGACGUUAGUUAGCAACAACACGACGACAAUUUGUAGCGCAAGAU